rnacentral:rRNA from 1 species
AUGAACGCUGGCGGCGUGCCUAAUACAUGCCAGUCGAGCGAACAGACGAGGAGCUUGCUCCUCUGACGUUAGCGGCGGACGGGUGAGUAACACGUGGAUAACCUACCUAUAAGACUGGGAUAACUUCGGGAAACCGGAGCUAAUACCGGAUAAUAUAUUGAACCGCAUGGUUCAAUAGUGAAAGACGGUUUUGCUGUCACUUAUAGAUGGAUCCGCGCCGCAUUAGCUAGUUGGUAAGGUAACGGCUUACCAAGGCAACGAUGCGUAGCCGACCUGAGAGGGUGAUCGGCCACACUGGAACUGAGACACGGUCCAGACUCCUACGGGAGGCAGCAGUAGGGAAUCUUCCGCAAUGGGCGAAAGCCUGACGGAGCAACGCCGCGUGAGUAAUGAAGGUCUUCGGAUCGUAAAACUCUGUUAUUAGGGAAGAACAAAUGUGUAAGUAACUAUGCACGUCUUGACGGUACCUAAUCAGAAAGCCACGGCUAACUACGUG